rnacentral:lncRNA from 1 species
UACUUAAUAACUGAAAUUAAAAUAAACUUAAAACAACCAAUUUGGCUAAAGUGUGAAAACCGAAAGAUGGAAAAUGAGGAAUUGGGGUCUGAUUCUAAUGCUCAAAUUGAUGCUGAGACGACUUUAGAUUCCUUGGAAAAAGUUGCGUGCUUGGAAUUCUUUGCUUUCUUAUAAUUGAGGAAUAAAACUACUUAUGCAUUAAACAAGGAAUAUAUAGACUGAAGAAUAAUUAGAAAAAUUUUAGAAAAUUCAAAAAGUUACAAUUGAAAAGCAAUACAAAAUAUAUAUCCUAACAAUUGAUUUAGAAAAUUUGCAUGUAUCUGAGUGUAACUAGUGUCUAUAUUCCAUUACUAAUUAACAACAAUGUUAUUCAUAAUUUGAAACGCGCAGCUUAAAUCUUAACAACAAUUCAUUCCAAAGUCAUCAAAUCCGGCAGCGUUGUUCUGUAUUGAUUCUUGUUCCAUAAAAUUCAAAAACAAAGGGCAAUAUUAAUUUAUUUUUUCCAUAAAACUCAAAAAUAACAAUUAGAGAAGAAAGGAGGAGGGAAUUGAUUUAGGCACAUCUAUAAUUCUUGUAUUCUUUAAAAAUAAAAAGAAGAAAAAAAGGCAGGGUUUGAGUUCACACACAAUGAUGUAACAAGGGUUUGAGUUCACACACAAUGACUGCCACAGAACUAUAAAGAUUUGAACUGAUGAAUAUAUAUAAUUAAUAAGACUAAGACUGGUGGUCUUGGAGCUAGUUCUGGACUAUAUUCACAUUGCUCAGAACCACCAUAACCAUUAACUCUUACUUCAUUGCUCAAUGCCAGCAGCAACACCAGUGCCACCUAAAACAGUAUAUCACUUACAGAUUCAUUGAAUUUCUCCUAGAUUAAGAAUUUUCUCCAAUAUGCAAACAACAAAAUCAAUUUUUAACCAUAUCACCAAAUCAAAUGUGUUGCAUUAGCAUCAAUUUUUAACCAAAGAUAAAAAAUUAAAGUUAGAUGAAAAGAAAUCCUCAGCGAAGAUAUAACAGCCAAAGGAAAUAUCAUAACAAGGCUUCCCAGUUUAGGGGAACUAUCAAUUUUGAUUACCCUUGUAGUAAGAAUCUAAAAUAGUUUUCUUUCAUUUUCUAGAAAGCAUUCUGCUUCACCUAAACACAUAUACUCAGGUUUAAGGGAGCUAUUGAGCUUACCUUGGUAGCAAGAACUAAAUAGUUUUUCUUCUUUUUACAAACAAAGAUCCUGUCUAAAAACUUUUAAGGCUAGCAAAUGGUUAAAAUAACAGGUUAUUUGAGAUCUCAUUUUAUUAUUAACUUUGAAAUCACGGUCUGAUGUUCAUGAUAAUCUCAAUAAUUUUUUUGUUUUGGGAUUAAAGAGAAAAUUAGACAGCAAAAGAGGAAUACAAAGGACAACAGAUUCUCUUUAUAAAAAUGAGCAAUCAGAAGAAAGGGUCACCUAAGAAGUAAACAGCAGAGAGCAAAAAUCAAAGUUGAACAAGUGAACAUCAGAUCUAGAAAAGCAAGAACCUUUUUAAGUCUUGCAACUUCUUCAAGGGUCUGUGAAUUCACAAUGGCAAACUGCACACAGCACAAAAGCAGUAUAUUCACAAUGUUUAUAAUUUAUUUUUUAAGCAGUAUAUUCACAAUGUUUAUUACACAAUGAAUGGAAUGGGCCCUCCAAUGUGGUUGUUGCUAAGAUCACUGCACAAGAAACAGAAAGUUUAAUUUUUAGUUCAAAUAAUUACACAAUUGGUGCUUAAGAGGUACUAAACUCUCUCGAUUAAUCAAACAGAACAAUGUUUAACAUGUCACUCAUCAGUAAACACAAUAAUGAAAUUGAAACAACACUUACAUUUCUAAGAUGGAUGGAAAAUUCAAAUUCCUACCAAGCUCUCCACCUAAAUUCAGGCCAUCAAGUCUUCUGUCAACCCAAAAUACAAGUUUUACUUAGCCUUAUUGCACUUAAUUAAGCUCUAUCAAUCAAACAACUAAUGAAACAUUGAAAAUAAUAACAUUAUCAUUUCCAACCAAUUAUAUAGAGCAUGCAAACAAUAACUCAAUAUUAACCAAAAAUAGUUUAAAAAGAGGAGAACUUAUCAGUAUCAUUUGAUAAUUGAUACCAUACAAUCACCCAAAAUAUUAAAUAUCCAACUUCAGAUAAGGAUGAAUCUACAGUUUUACCACUUCAAAGCAUUUGAUAUUCAGUAACCAUCUACAGUUUAGGAGCAUUAUUUUCAUUUAACUAUUUUCUCAAUAGAAUUGCUGCUCGUCACUUUCAAAAGUUUCUUCCGAACCCUAAAAGUUGAAAUCGGACAAAAUGUCCAAAAUAUGUAUUGCGAUACCGUAAGAGGAGGAAUGAACCUCUACACCGGUUUUGGUUUGGAAGUUGACAAAGGAAUUCCUUUUCUGCGGAAUGCAAUCCCUAACGGCGGAUCUGAAUGGAAAGGAAGGAAAGGAGAGACUCGUCAAAAAGGAAGGAAAGGAGAGGAAAGGAAGCUGACCUGGAUCGUCGUAGAGGAAGGCGUUGAUGAUUUUGGCAGAGAAGACACAGAGGACGACAAGGAGAGGAAGAUGGAGGAGACGUCAUCAGAGGAAAUCGCCACUGUAGGAGAUUUCGUCGAUGGAGAUCGAUGCCGGAGGAGAUGUCACCGGAGAAGAUCGUCGGAGAAUGCAAGAGGAUCGGAGAUCGUCGCAGAGGCCAUCCAGGAGAACAGCGUCACGGCGUAGUGUUUCAACGAAGUAAGGGUUUCUGAAAUUAGGGAUUGAUAAUUCUUGUUUUAUACUUAGGUGAUAAUGGCAGUUCAAAACCGCGCUAAUUAUAAAAAUCGCCACAAAUCCAAAA